rnacentral:rRNA from 1 species
UACGGAGGGGGCAAGCGUUGUUCGGAAUUACUGGGCGUAAAGGGCUCGUAGGUGGCCAACUACGUCAGACGUGAAAUCCCCAGGCUCAACUUGGGAACUGCGUCUGAUACUGGAUGGCUUGAAUUCGGGAGAGGGAUGCAGAAUUCCAGGUGUAGCGGUGAAAUGCGUAGAUAUCUGGAGGAAUACCGGUGGCGAAGGCGGCAUCCUGGACCGAGAUUGACACUGAUGAGCGAAAGCUAGGGGAGCAAACGGG